rnacentral:rRNA from 1 species
CAGCAGCCGCGGGAAUACGGGGGGAGCUAGCGUUAUUCGGAAUUACUGGGCGUAAAGCGCACGUAGGCGGCUUUGUAAGUAAGAGGUGAAAGCCCAGAGCUCAACUCUGGAAUUGCCUUUUAGACUGCAUCGCUUGAAUCAAGGAGAGGUCAGUGGAAUUCCGAGUGUAGAGGUGAAAUUCGUAGAUAUUCGGAAGAACGCCAGUGGCGAAGGCGGCUGACUGGACAUGUAUUGACGCUGAGGUGCGAAAGCGUGGGGAGCAAACAGGAUUAGAUACCCCAGUAGCCCUGUCUCUUAUACA